rfam:Oryza brachyantha chromosome 4, whole genome shotgun sequence.
AAGUUCGACGACGACGAUCUAAUCUCUUAUUUGCUUUCAGGUUUAGAUAAAGAUUUUGAGCCCAUUGUUUCUGCUCUUGUUUCAAGAGUUGAACCAGUGAGCAUUGGAGAAGUGUAUGCACAACUUCUCAACUUUGAAG